rnacentral:rRNA from 1 species
UGCCAGCAGCCGCGGUAAGACGGAGGGUGCGAACGUUGUUCGGAAUCACUGGGCAUAAAGAGCACGUAGGUGGCCUAGUCAGUCCGUUGUGAAAGCUUUUGGUUCAACCGGGGAACUGCAUUGGAUACUGUUAGGCUUGAGGAUGGUUGGGGUGAGCGGAACUCCUGGUGGAGCGGUGAAAUGCGUAGAUAUCAGGAGGAACACCAGUGGCGAAAGCGGCUCACUGGACCAUCUCUGACGCUGAGGUGCGAAAGCUAGGGUAGCGAACGGGAUUAGAUA